GAUGAAUAUGGGGAUUACUUAAGUUCUAAGAGUCAUAUAUAUUAUUAUUAGCUGUUAAUUGAUACUCCACAAAUAUUAAGAAAUGUAAUUCAUAUUUUAUCUAAUUGAUUAAAAUAGUUAUAAAUUUCAAUAUUACCCAACUGAAUCCGAAUUAUAAAAUUUUCAAUUGUCUUAUAUCUUCUUUUCGUUCUAAUUUGAACUUCGGAAUUGGUUUCUUCAUCUUAUCAUAUCCAAAUUUUUUUGUUAUAACAAAAAACAAAUACAACAGAUUUUUAUACACAUGAAAAUUUGUGAAUUGAUUUCAUGUAAUCCGGAUCAUUUAGGAGCCUUAAAAUGAUGGCAACUAAUAUUUUUACAUAAAAAAUUGAUAUUUCCACAUGAUUCCUCUCACAUGAAUAAUGAGUGAAUCCCACUUUUAUAUGAGAGAUUUACGUAAAAAUAUCAUUUUAACAUGUGAAAAUAUUAAUUUCCUAAAAUGAUUACUACUCUUUUCAGAACAAGUUGUAAACUUGUAGGUUUAGUGUGGAGGGUUGUGGAUUGCAGAUAAAUAUAUUGGAUAAAUGAAACAAGAAUAGUUUAGUAAUGAGUCGUGUAAUGCAAUGUUUUCAAACCAGAUCGGUUAUUGAAUCGAAAAAAUUAUUCGGUGAUUGAACCGUUAUUAAAUCGGUGACGUCAUAAAUAUAUAAAAAUAUAUAUUAUUAAUAAUUAAUAAAAUUUAAAAAAAUCUCAUUUUUUAUAAACUAAAACAUAAUAAAAUUAAAUUACAAUAUUAUUAAAAAUAGUUAAUUUUAAUAUUAAAAAAAAAUUUAUACAAAAAAUUAUUAAAAAAUUGAUUCACCGAGUUAACUUACCUGUUUUUACCGGUUGAACCACUGAUUUAAAACGAAUUUUAACCAAACUAGUUCAACCAGAUCGAACCAGACAUAGAACUGAUUCUUGAUUCAACCAAUUAAUAUGUUUGGUCCAAGUUUCAAAAAACAAUGGUGUAAUGUAUUACGAUAAUUUUAUAUCAAAUUAUAAUGUAAAACAUUACUCUCUCCGUUUCUAAUUAUUUGACAUUUUAAAGAUGGACACAAA
rnacentral:lncRNA from 1 species